rnacentral:rRNA from 1 species
AACGAACGCUGGCGGCAUGCCUAACACAUGCAAGUCGAACGAGACCUUCGGGUCUAGUGGCGCACGGGUGCGUAACGCGUGGGAACCUGCCCUUAGGUUCGGAAUAACUCCCCGAAAGGGGUGCUAAUACCGGAUAAUGUCUUCGGACCAAAGAUUUAUCGCCUUUGGAUGGGCCCGCGUUGGAUUAGCUAGUUGGUAGGGUAAAAGCCUACCAAGGCGACGAUCCAUAGCUGGUCUGAGAGGAUGAUCAGCCACACUGGGACUGAGACACGGCCCAGACUCCUACGGGAGGGAGCAGUGGGGAAUAUUGGACAAUGGGCGAAAGCCUGAUCCAGCAAUGCCGCGUGAGUGAUGAAGGCCUUAGGGUUGUAAAGCUCUUUUACCCGGGAUGAUAAUGACAGUACCGGGAGAAUAAGCGCCGGCUAACUACGUG